rnacentral:lncRNA from 1 species
AUUUAUCAGCACACUGGUGGUAUUUAGGGGUUGCACAACAUGCACGGGAGCUUUAACAUUCCUAACGUGCCUAGUACACUUACAUCAAGAAACUCAUCAUUAAACAGCAUGCCAUCUGGAGCAGUUCAGCAACCUACAUCAAGUCUUUCUAGAGUGCCUAGUACACUUACAUCAAGAAACUCAUCAUUAAACAGCAUGCCAUCUGGAGCAGUUCAGCAACCUACAUCAAGUCUUUCUAGUGGAAGAUUUUCAUCAAAUAAUCUACCUGCUGCUCUGUCACAGCUAUCUCAUGGAAGCCCUCACGGACAUUCAGGAGUUAACAGUUGAGGAAGGAUUGUUUUAAUCAGGCGCCAACAAAGGUUUCAGCUUGCCAUUAUCAUAGAGGGUUAGACAUGGUGGUUGUGGGAUUUUCAAAUGGUGUGUUUGCGUUGUAUCAGA